rnacentral:tRNA from 13 species
GCGUCGGUGGUAUAACGGUUAGCAUAGCUGCCUUCCAAGCAGCUGUUGACCCGGGUUCGACUCCGCCCGACGCA